rnacentral:lncRNA from 1 species
CAGAAAAUGAUAGAAGAUUGUGUCCAAACAAUUUUUGAUACACCAGCAGAAAAUUCCAUCCGGGAUGAUGCUAUUGCUCGAGUUUUAGGUCCUGGACGUCGUAGAAGAGUUAGAGGACUUGGAUUUGGAGUUGCACCAUCGAAAGUGGAUGGACAAUUUCAAAGUAACGGGAGAGUGAGAAAACUCGAAGAAAAGGUUGGAGCGCUAGAAGAAAAGGUUGAAACACUUCUCCAAUUAUCUUAACAGGUUAUAAACUUUUAUCAUUAUAUAUACAAUAAUAAUAUAGCUUCACAUAACUCAAUAUGGAGAAUAAAUUUUUAAUUUUUAUAUCAUUUACAGAAUCAAAACAAGAAUGUAGACGACAUGAGUUCACGUGCUUUUACUCAGGUUUUUGUAUCUAAAAAAUUAUUUUGUAUUCACUAUAAACAUAGAAUAUAGCAUACUAAUUUACUUUACUUUGAUUUUGUAGUCACAACACGGAAGUGAUAUCCAUUGAGGGAUUGCACAUACAAAAAAUGUAAGGUGUCAGCUGUUGCAUUGGUGCAUAUUUGAAGAGGAAGAAAUUGUAGCUGAAGGAAGGAUUGCAUCGAUAAACCCAAGUGCAAAGGUCCAUCACGUACCAAUCGGACGAGAUUGUUGGAACGUGUGAGUUGAGAAAUAUUAUAUGGGCCAUUUGAACUUAUAUAUACCUACUGAUGAAUUUUGAGUGCUUAGUGAAACCAUAGGAAGUACAAUUGCUUGAUCAAAGAGCAGUAUUAGACUUACUUGACAAGGUAUGUAAUGCAUUUUUGUAUUUCUGUGUGAAUUAUCUGUGCAUGCUAGGAAAAAAUGGUUCGAUCAAUGAAAAUUUCCUACAUGGUAUUGUUUAUUCAUUAAGAACUGAUUUACUACUUGCAAAAUUCAAGUAUAGCAUCGAUUUUAUAAUCACCUAUCAUGAUCAUGAAGCACAUAUCCUUUUUUCUUCUAAAUUGAGUGAGCCCUACCUUUGCAUCUCCAUGCAGCGAGAAUAGAUAAUAUGAUCAUGACUGGAAUUUAUAUGUGGUGCAGUUGGU